rnacentral:rRNA from 1 species
CUCUGGAAAGACGGAUCCGACGGUGAGGGACGAAAGCUCGGGUCACGAACCGGAUUAGAUACCCGGGUAGUCCGAGCUGUAAACGAUGUCUGCUAGGUGCGCCACAGGCUACGAGCCUGUGGUGUGCCGUAGGGAAGCCGUGAAGCAGACCGCCUGGGAAGUACGUCCGCAAGGAUGAAACUUAAAGGAAUUGGCGGGGGAGCACUACAACCGGAGGAGCCUGCGGUUUAAUUGGACUCAACGCCGGACAUCUCACCAGCAUCGACAGUAGGAGUGACGGUCAGUGUGAUGAGCUUACCAGACCUACUGAGAGGAGGUGCAUGGCCGCCGUCAGCUCGUACCGUGAGGCGUCCUGUUAAGUCAGGCAACGAGCGAGACCCGCACUCCUAAUUGCCAGCAACACCCUUGUGGUGGUUGGGUACAUUAGGAGGACUGCCAGUGCCAAACUGGAGGAAGGAACGGGCAACGGUAGGUCAGUAUGCCCCGAAUGUGCUGGGCAACACGCGGGCUACAAUGGUCGAGACAGUGGGAUGCAACCCCGAGAGGGGGCGCUAAUCUCCGAAACUCGAUCGUAGUUCGGAUUGCGGACUGAAACUCGUCCGCAUGAAGCUGGAUUCGGUAGUAAUCGCCGUUCAGAAGACGGCGGUGAAUACGUCCCUGCUCCUUGCACACACCGCCCGUCAAAGCACCCGAGUGAGGUCCGGAUGAGGCCCCC